GACGAACGCUGGCGGCGUGCUUAACACAUGCAAGUCGAACGAUGAAGCCCUUCGGGGUGGAUUAGUGGCGAACGGGUGAGUAACACGUGGGCAAUCUGCCCUUCACUCUGGGACAAGCCCUGGAAACGGGGUCUAAUACCGGAUAACACUCCUGCCUGCAUGGGCGGGGGUUAAAAGCUCCGGCGGUGAAGGAUGAGCCCGCGGCCUAUCAGCUUGUUGGUGGGGUAAUGGCCCACCAAGGCGACGACGGGUAGCCGGCCUGAGAGGGCGACCGGCCACACUGGGACUGAGACACGGCCCAGACUCCUACGGGAGGCAGCAGUGGGGAAUAUUGCACAAUGGGCGAAAGCCUGAUGCAGCGACGCCGCGUGAGGGAUGACGGCCUUCGGUU
rnacentral:rRNA from 1 species